UACGUAGGGUGCGAGCGUUGUCCGGAAUUAUUGGGCGUAAAGGGCUCGUAGGCGGUUUGUCGCGUCGGGAGUGAAAACGCCGGGCUUAACCCGGUGCUUGCUUUCGAUACGGGCAGACUGGAGGUAUGCAGGGGAGAACGGAAUUCCUGGUGUAGCGGUGAAAUGCGCAGAUAUCAGGAGGAACACCGGUGGCGAAGGCGGUUCUCUGGGCAUGACCUGACGCUGAGGAGCGAAAGUGUGGGCAGCGAACAGG
rnacentral:rRNA from 1 species